UGUCCAGACUCCUACGGGAGGCAGCAGUGAGGAAUAUUGGUCAAUGGGCUUACGCCCGAACCAGCCAAGACGCGUGAGGGAAGACUGCCCUAUGGGUUGUAAACCUCUUUUGUCAGGGAGCAACGCCGGCUACGUGUAGCCGGACUGAGAGUACCUGAAGAAAAAGCAUCGGCUAACUCCGUGCCAGCAGCCGCGGUAAUACGGAGGAUGCGAGCGUUAUCCGGAUUUAUUGGGUUUAAAGGGUGCGUAGGCGGGUUAUCAAGUCAGCGGUAAAAUCGUGGAGCUCAACUCCAUCCAGCCGUUGAAACUGGCGCUCUUGAGUGGAAGAGAAGUAUGCGGAAUGCGUGGUGUAGCGGUGAAAUGCAUAGAUAUCACGCAGAACCCCGAUUGCGAAGGCAGCAUGCCGGCUUCCGACUGACGCUGAAGCACGAAAGCGUGGGGAUCGAACAGGAUUAGAUACCCUAGUAAC
rnacentral:rRNA from 1 species